rnacentral:rRNA from 1 species
UGUCUUUUUGAAAAUAAUAUAAAGUCUAAUCUGCCCACUGAUUUAAUAAUUAAAGGGCUGCAGUAUAUUGACUGUACAAAGGUAGCAUAAUCAUUAGUCAUUUAAUUGAUGACUUGUAUGAAAGAUUGGAUGAGGUAUAAACUGUCUCUUAGUUAAAUAUAGAAUUUAAUUUUUUAAUUAAAAAGUUAAAAUAAAUUAAAAAGACGAGAAGACCCUAUAGAGUUUUAUAAUUAAUUUGAUUGAUAUUAUUUAAUAAUAAAUAAAAUUGAAAUUAAGUUAAUUAUUUUGUUGGGGUGACAGAAAAAUAUGUAUAACUUUUUUUUUAUAAAAACAUUUAUAAGUGAUUAAAUGAUCCAAUAUUAUUGAUUAAAAGAAAAAAUUACCUUAGGGAUAACAGCGUAAUUUUUUUUUUUAGUUCAAAUAAGAAAAAAAGUUUGCGACCUCGAUGUUGGAUUAAGAUAAAAUUUAAAUGCAGAAG